GAACUGAAGAGUUUGAUCAUGGCUCAGAUUGAACGCUGGCGGCAGGCCUAACACAUGCAAGUCGAGCGGAUGAAGGGAGCUUGCUCUUGGAUUCAGCGGCGGACGGGUGAGUAAUGCCUAGGAAUCUGCCUGGUAGUGGGGGAUAACGUCCGGAAACGGGCGCUAAUACCGCAUACGUCCUGAGGGAGAAAGUGGGGGAUCUUCGGACCUCACGCUAUCAGAUGAGCCUAGGUCGGAUUAGCUAGUUGGUGGGGUAAAGGCCUACCAAGGCGACGAUCCGUAACUGGUCUGAGAGGAUGAUCAGUCAC
rnacentral:rRNA from 1 species